rnacentral:rRNA from 1 species
UUAAGCAUAUCAAUAAGCGGAGGAAAAGAAACCAACAGGGAUUGCCCUAGUAACGGCGAGUGAAGCGGCAACAGCUCAAAUUUGAAAUCUGGCGCAAGCCCGAGUUGUAAUUUGUAGAGGAUGCUUCUAGGUAGCGACCGGUCUAAGUUCCUUGGAACAGGACGUCAUAGAGGGUGAGAAUCCCGUAUGUGACCGGCCCGCACCUUCUACGUAGCUCCUUCGACGAGUCGAGUUGUUUGGGAAUGCAGCUCUAAAUGGGAGGUAAAUUUCUUCUAAAGCUAAAUACCGGCCAGAGACCGAUAGCGCACAAGUAGAGUGAUCGAAAGAUGAAAAGCACUUUGGAAAGAGAGUUAAAAAGCACGUGAAAUUGUUGAAAGGGAAGCGCUUACAACCAGACUUCUGGGCGGUGUUCCGCCGGUCUUUUGACCGGUCUACUCGCCGUCCCGAGGCCAACAUCAUCUGGGACCGCUGGAUAAGACCUCAGGAAUGUAGCUUCCCUCGGGAAGUGUUAUAGCCUGUGGUGAUGCAGCGCGUCUCGGGUGAGGUCCGCGCUUCGGCAAGGAUGUUGGCGUAAUGGUUGUCAGCGGCCCGUCUUGAAACACGGACCAAGGAGUCUAACAUCUAUGCGAGUGUUCGGGUGUCAAACCCCUACGCGUAAUGAAAGUGAACGGAGGUGGGAAGCGUAAGCUGCACCAUCGACCGAUCCUGAUGUCCUCGGAUGGAUUUGAGUAAGAGCAUAGCUGUUGGGACCCGAAAGAUGGUGAACUAUGCCUGAAUAGGGUGAAGCCAGAGGAAACUCUGGUGGAGGCUCGCAGCGGUUCUGACGUGCAAAUCGAUCGUCAAAUUUGGGUAUAGGGGCGAAAGACUAAUCGAACCAU